UUCUUCGUUCGCUUCAUCCGGGGUUGGGUGUGGGACAACAGGGUUACCCAUAGAGGAUUCGUGUUUUAGCUUAUGUCCCCCUUAUGGUUGUUAGUGGGGUAGUUACUUUUUGUUAUUAUUGCAUGCGAUGGUAUUUAUGUUUCCUAUAUUUACAUAAUUAUUUGCGUUAUUUCUGCGGGAUUUACUAAUGCUUUAUUGUUUUGUUUUGUCUUGUUUUUGUUUCUAAUUUUGUCUUUGUUUUUGUUUUUGUUCUAACGCUGCUUUUCAUUUUAUCCUAUGCGCCGAGGGUCGAUUGGAAACAGCCUCUCUGCCCUUUCGGGUAGGGGCAAGGCUCGUCUACAUAUUACCCUCCCCAGACCCCACCUGGUGGAAAUACACUGGGUAGUUGUUGUUGUUGUUGUUGUUG
rnacentral:lncRNA from 1 species